rnacentral:rRNA from 1 species
GUAGGGAAUAUUGGACAAUGGGCGAAAGCCUGAUCCAGCCAAGCCGCGUGAUAGAUGAAGGCCCUCUGGGUUGUAAAUAUCUUUUAUCUGGGAAGAAACUCCUCUAUUCUUAGAGGCCUGACGGUACCAGAGGAAUAAGCACCGGCUAACUCCGUGCCAGCAGCCGCGGUAAUACGGAGGGUGCAAGCGUUAUCCGGAUUCACUGGGUUUAAAGGGUGCGUAGGCGGGUUGAUAAGUCAGUGGUGAAAGCUCCGGGCUUAACUUGGAAACUGCCAUUGAUACUGUCAAUCUUGAAUGUCGUAGAGGUAAGCGGAAUGUUGCAUGUAGCGGUGAAAUGCUUAGAUAUGUUACAGAACACCAAUUGCGAAGGCAGCUUACUAUGCGAUAAUUGACGCUGAGGCACGAAAGCGUGGGGAGCAAACAGGAUUAGAAACCCGGGUAGUCC